UACGUGGGGGGUAAGCGUUGUUCGGAAUUACUGGGCGUAAAGGGCUCGUAGGCGGCCAACUAAGUCGGACGUGAAAUCCCUCAGCUUAACUGGGGAACUGCGUCCGAUACUGGAUGGCUUGGAUUUGGGAGAGGGAUGCGGAAUUCCAGGUGUAGCGGUGAAAUGCGUAGAUAUCUGGAGGAACACCGGUGGCGAAGGCGGCAGCCUGGACCAAUAUUGACGCUGAGGAGCGAAAGCCAGGGGAGCAAACGGG
rnacentral:rRNA from 1 species